CCUACGGGAGGCAGCAGUAGGGAAUCUUCCGCAAUGGACGAAAGUCUGACGGAGCAACGCCGCGUGAGUGAAGAAGGUUUUCGGGUCGUAAAGCUCUGUUGUUAGUGAAGAACAGUAUGAGGAGUAACUGCCUUGUAUUUGACGGUAUAUUAUUAGAAAGCCACGGCUAACUACGUGCCAGCAGCCGCGGUAAUACGUAGGUGGCAAGCGUUGUCCGGAUUUAUUGGGCGUAAAGGGAGCGUAGGCGGCUUGGUAAGUCUGAGGUGAAAGCCCGGGGCUCAACCUCGGAACUGCCUUGGAUACUGCCAUGCUUGAGUGCUGGAGAGGUUAGUGGAAUUCCGAGUGUAGCGGUGAAAUGCGUAGAUAUUCGGAAGAACACCAGUGGCGAAGGCGGCUUACUGGACUGUAACUGACGCUGAGGCUCGAAAGCGUGGGGAGCAAACAGGAUUAGAUACCCUGGUAGUC
rnacentral:rRNA from 1 species